rnacentral:rRNA from 1 species
CUUGGUGAGUAUAGCUAUGGGGGUACACCUAGUUACAUCCGAACCUAGAAGUUAAGCCCAUAUACGCUGAUGGUACUUGGCUGGAAGCGGCCUGGGAGAGUAUGGAUUUGCCAAGC